GGGUGUGUAGCUCAGUGGUAGAGCGGCUGACUGCAGAUCAGCAGUCCUCGGUUCAAAUC
rfam:Perkinsus marinus ATCC 50983 gcontig_1104296302720, whole genome shotgun sequence.